rnacentral:lncRNA from 1 species
GGACUACAAAUUUCUUUUCUCUUUAAAUUUCUUUUCUAUGUUAAAAAGAUAAUUCCACAAGUGCUCUCUAGUUUAUUUUAACUAUACAAUAAGUGUGAGUUCUUUCGUCGUCCAUAAUGACAUUUCCGCAAAUAAAAUGAAAAUGAAGGUAAACAAUGAUUCAUUCUUCGACAUUUUUUUUUCUCUCCACACGUGUCCAUUGUGCAGACCCUAUGUCUUCUUCUUAUUUUAUGUGUCAUAUUUUCACUUUUACUCUCUCUCUCUCUCUCUCUGCUUCUUCUUUCACAUUCUUUCUACGAUGGUGAGGGCCUUUUCUUCUGCCUAUGUCCUUUUAUUCAAUGUUUUCUUUUUAGUUUUAUUUUCUUUUGGUUUGUUUUUGGGUGUUAUCAGUGGCUUUUUAGUUUCUUGCUGCAGAGAAACAGGGAAAUGGAUAUUUUUUUGUAAGCACCUUGCUAUAUUUGCAGAUUCAGCUAUUUGGGCAGAGGGACAAUUAGACCCGUAUCUUGGCUUGGAAAACCUUGGAUGCUAUGUGAGUUGAGGCUUCUUUAUCACAUGCAACUGUUCUUUUGCAGUCAUGGCUGGUAUCCUUCUAGACUAAGCCUUAAUAUUGCAAUUGGUCCUGUAGAAAUUGUUUGGCGGAAUCCCAUUUCCAUUUCUUUUGAAUUCAGCUCAUAGAAGUGUCAAUGGAAAAUAGGAAUUACUUAUUUAUUCAGAUUUAUUGGUAAACCCAUUGCUAGAAUAAAUUAACAGUGCUUGGCUCUUUCUAUUUCUUUGGCUUCGAUACGUUAUUAUUGUUGAUUUCUUAUUACGUGAUUAUAAUAUUUUCCUAAUUUCUUAAUCUUCCUUCUCUAUGACAGUUUUGCAACCAGAUUGGUCUUUAAAUUUGGUUCUGCCUUUACGCUUUUCCACUAUUUUGUAUCUCCAUUAUCGGAUAUUUGUGAUUUAUUUAUUUGAAUAUAUUGGUCUGAAUUUUUUGAUAGCACAGAUUUUUAGCUGGUGAAAAUUGCUCGAGGUGGGGGGAAAAAGUGAGGCUGCUUCGACCGUAAAAGGUAAUUUCUACACUUUUUUUGCUUUGAUGUUAUAUGUUUAGUUAAAUAAUGUUAAAUGGUUGUAUGUUAUAUGUCAUGCAUAUUGUAUAGAUGUGUGUUCUUUAGGAAUAAAUUGAAUGUUAAGAAUACAAAACUUAGACUUUAAUGUAGAAAUUUUAUGAAAUGCUUGAAAAAAUGAUGCCUAACAACAAAAAGAAAGAUAGACAAAGCACAAUCUGAACUGGCGUGGGAAUUUCCAUAAUGCUGUGCCAAAAAUAGUCCAAAAUGAUUUAUAUAUUGGACAAGUUACUCCCACAAUCACAAGCUAGAAUAAAAAAGAAGCAUGCUCAAUCUGAAGAGGCAUAUCUCAAGAGAUAUUGAAUCCUUUGAAGGAUCCCCGACCUAAAAGAUCCUGCAGCUAUAUCUUGGCCAGCAACAACAACAUCAUCCUGAAUAGCGUGUUCACUUUCAUCAUUGUCCAGAAAAUCUCGGGCAAAAGGAAGUGUAUUGGAAGGUUCUGCAUUGUAUUUUCAGAAACCACCAUGGAGAAAACCUUCUUCCAUUACUCGACGACUUCUAAACACCGGAGCAUUAGGUGCAUCCCUCUGAAGAGUUGGUAUCCUCUGAUAAAAACACAAAGGUUAAGAAGAAACUAUCUCCCAAUGCAAAGUUCAUUGAGGCAAUUGAAUCCAUAGUCUUACCUCCAUGAUUUUAAAAGGCUCCUCAGUGAUGUCAAAGGUAAGAGUACACUCAAUGGCUCUAGCAGAAACCAGAACUGCGGAAUUGAGGUUGUCAUCCACAUACAUCCUACAAAGUAAAAAGUGCAUUUUCAUCAAACACUUUGUUUGAGUAAGAAGAAUGCAACAAUUGUUGUCUCAAAGAAAGCUGAUGUCGUUCCAUGCAUGGUAAAUUUCAUUAUUUCCAGGAAUCCUAAAUUAACAUGAGAUAUAUUGAAGUAGAUUAUUUUCAGAUUUAUAUUUGUAGGAUAAUCUACUUUUUUGUACUGUCCAUUUAUAUUUGUUACUAUUCAUAUAUAUAGUCUACAUGAGUGUGUAUGUGAAAUCUUUGCAAAUUUCUGUUGGAUUGGAUCCUAUUUCACUUUGAGUACAUAGUAUAAGGUCUACUCCAUACACCCUAAUUCUACUCUAUCACUACAGGAAAGGAUAAAAAACAAAUAAAAGAUUAUGAACCAUUUUUGAAAGACUUUUGUUUGGAAGCUAUGGUGAGUUUGAUUUCCUUUUGUGUAAAGGGGAUGGUGACUCAAUUGUUUGUCAUUUGAUUUACAUCUAUUUUGCCCUUUUAAAUGUUAAUUACCGUAUUGUUGCAGUGUUUCACGCAAUAUGAAUAAUAUUUCUUGAAAUGUUUUCCUCGGUAUGGUGUUUUUUUACUUAAAUCUCCAUAUGCUUUGGAAUGUCUAAUUAAGUAAGUCAUCAUGCCGAUGCGUUUCAACUCUCUCUUAUAUACUACCUACCUUUUGAUCAUGGAGUAAAGAUUUCAUGUAUUCUAACAUAGGGAGCCUUUUUCCAUUUUUAUUGUAGAUUUGAUUUCAUACAAGUAGCUAAAAGCUCACCCUUCUCUCAAACUCUGUUAGCUACUUCUCUAGGUCAAUUUCGGGCCACCAAACCCUGCAACUGAUGAGAAGGCCCUAUGGAGCGUGUAUGUUGACACACCUCCUGCCUUUCAAAGGUACCUAGAGGAUAGGCCAUACACAACAGUGCGAUGACCGGGGAGCGAAUUCCCUACGAGAAGGGUCAAACGACCAUCUCAAGGCGCAUCACGAUCUACAAGUAAAAAAAGCAGUUUAUUCAUGAUCUUCACAUAUCUGUGCAUCUAUUUGCGGUACUCUAUGAUUCACAUGAAGUCGCUGUCUAGGCACAUUAUGUUUUAAUCCUGAACAGAAAAAGAUCUGCUGGGGAAUUCGGAGCCUGACAAUAUUUAUGUUUGUAUAUUCUAUCUCCUGGACAUACAAUGGCCCAUCUCUGCUAGGUUUAUCACAAAUGAAGUUAGUGUGAGAAGUGCAAAUGGAAACUAAUCUAUAAAGCUAUUAUUUAAUGUAAUGCAUAUCCAUGACUGCAUCUAACUAGUUUGAUGGAGGUGCUUAACAGUGGAUGUGGAUCAGUACAACCCUGUAACUUGGAUUCAGCUUCAUGCAUAUCCCAGAAAUCUCGAACACAAAGAUGGGCUUGAGAAACGUAUAUUGUCUAAUAAAUACUUUAAAUCUGAACAUGUAUCUUUGUGUUUAGACUUUCUAUUUGUGGUCAUUAUGCAUGUUCUUUUCUAUGUCCUUGAAAUAAAUUACAUUGGAUUUCUUUUGUUUUAACAGAUUAGUGCUCUUAAAGGAGUGGAUAUAAACUUCUUGGCAGAAAUCGCCAUAAGAUGUUGUGACCAUCGUUUUUUCCUUUGACACUUUUCUGGUUUGGUGCUACCCUUGUAUUUGAACAUGCGGCAUCUUAUAUGUCUCUAUCGCUUCUGGUGCUGAGACGCUUUGAUGCAAGAUAUUAUUGGGGAAGGAGUUCAAUAAGUCCCUUUUUUUUGGAAAAUAUCCUUUGCAUACUUUUAUGAUUACACAUUCUGUUUUUCCACUCUUAUGACUAUGUGUAGAAGAUGUAGAGAGGUGGUAAUGAUGGAAGAUAAAAAUGUCAUCUGUUUUUUCAAAAAUAAUCCUCCCUUUUCUGCUUUAUGUGCCAUAAUUGUAUAAACGUUAGUUAUUGAAGGAGGACAAAAUAGGAAAGUCUUAAUUUGAAAGAGUUCUGUGUCUAUUGUCUCUCUUUUUAUGUUGUAAUUGCAAGUAGUGAAACCUUAUCCACAAAAAAAUGCAAGGAAACUGACUGCGAUAGGUCUCGAUAAAUCUAAAGGACCUCUCGCAAAGUUUGUUGCACCGAAAAGUGUGAACCUAAGAGAUUUAGGAGCUAAAUUUUACUUGCUCACCAUCCAGUUUUUAUAUCUGAUGGACUUUAAGGUUAUGGAUAUUAUUAUUGGAAAAAAGGCUAGCCAUAUGGUGAAACAUUGAACAGGUACGAGAAAUGUCAUUCAUACGAGAAAUGUCAUUCAGAUAUAACAAUUAGGUUGACUGUGCUAUUAUCUAUCAAGUUAAUACAUUGUCAUUCCUGCUUAUUCCAAAUUUCAUAUCUAUUGGUACAUUUGAACUUGAAGUUUUGAAUUUCUUUUCAGUUUCACUUCAUUACAAAGCUCCUACAAAUAUUCGAUGUUGUACUCUCAAAUAAAGUUGGUCAUUCUAUUCUAUCAAAUACCCGUGAUGAAGUGAAUUGCUACUUUACAUGAGGACUCAUUGGAGAAUGGAUCAUCUGGAAAUUCUUUGUGAUCUUAAUGUGAAUGAGCUCUUGAAUUAUAAGAAUGUAAAACUGCAUUUUUUUUAUGUAAUUGAGUUAGUGAUAAUUUGAUCACUAAACAAGCUUAUUGUUAUUCUUAAAGUUCACUUAAAUACCUUAGUUUGCACUUAUAUUGUUGGUCUUACCUACAAAAUUAUGAAGUUAAAGGUAGUUUAAAGUAGUUGGUUUAAUUGUGAAAGGAAUAGUGACAUUGGGCGCUCGUGCAGAGCACGGUCACUCCCAUCUACUCUCCCAUCUAGUAUUUAACUAUAUAAUAAGAGCUUUUUGGACGACCAGGGGUUUCACACUGGUCCAGCUGUUGUGCAUAUUUCUUGCUAACACCUUACGUGUCUUUCAGCUGGUAGUGCAUAUUUCAGGUGCAUCUCCUUUUGUAAAAUUUCAUUUCUCUCCCUUUGCAUGCCGUUCUUCUAUUAUUCUUAUCUCUACUUUCUGUGCUUCUCUUCCAUUUCUGCUCAUGUUUUAUUUUCCAAUCUUCUGAAGUUGUUUCUGUGCAUUCGGCUGUCCUACUUUUGUUGUUUAUUGUUUUCUUCAGUUUCCUCUCCUUUUUCGUGGCUUUCAAUUACUCUUUCCCCUCUCAUCUUCGCUUCACUUUCUUUUGCAUAUCCCUUAUUUAUCUUGUUUUUUAUUUUUUCUUUGUUUGUUCUACUAUGGGUAUCGACUUGGAUUGUGUUUUGAUUUGUUUAAUUUUACUUUUUUAAGUCAUAAUUUGUUGUAUACAAUAUUGGUCUGCACUAAAAUUGUAUGUAUAUAUUUUGGUGAUAAUGCUCAGAGAAAGAUCAAAUACAUGUCAAGAUUCACUCAUUUGAUCAUAGAACGGGAAGCAGCAACCUGUACGACAAUGCCGAUCAUGAACAUAUUCGGCAUGUUCCUCUGUUUUGUGAGUUUUCCCCUUUCUGCUAUGUUAUGUAUUGAUGUGCUACUAUGCCCAUCUACUGUAUUAGUCUUUGAAACUAUAUUUUGAAUCCACUUAGAAUAGAAAAUUGUGGAAAUUUUUCGAGUGUUUAAUUUCUUUUGACAUGUUCUAUAUGUGUUUGACACUUUGCUCUGAAGAAGGAUUAGAAAAUUAUGGACUUUAUUGAUGGAGAGUGCAGGUAAUGGGCAUGACUUAGUUGAUUUAAAGAUUUUCUUAAUAGCAAUAUCAAAUUUCUCACAAGAGAAUGUUGUGUAGCUUAUGGACUAUAUAUUUACUACGAAUAAAAUAUAGUUAUCCCAAAAUAGUAGGUUAUGGAUAGUAUAAUGUUAUCCACAUAUGUCAUGGAGCUUAACUAUCGAGCAAUUUUUCUUUUUCAUUUUUGCAUUGAUGGCAUUCUCCAAAGUUCUUCAAAUAAAAACAUAUAUCUUGAAAGUAGAUUGUUUUUUCCCGUUGUUUGUUGUAUUAAGUCUACUAAUGUUUCUUAAUUAGUUUCAGUAGUUUAGAAAUUUAACUCUCAAUCUUCUUAUCAUCUAGGAUGUCGGUCUUGAUAUAUAUUGUUUCUGGAUGUAGAAAGUAGAAAUUCAGUUUUGAUUUAGAUAGGUAAUGUUUAUUCCACUUACAAAAUACAUUUAUGAAGAUCUCUGUAGGUUUGAGUAUUAGCACUUUAACAUUUGUUCCUGUCA